rnacentral:rRNA from 1 species
AACGAACGCUGGCGGCAGGCCUAACACAUGCAAGUCGGACGAGAAGGUUCYUUCGGGAACUGGAGAGUGGCGCACGGGUGAGUAACGCGUGGGGACCUACCUCUUAGUGGGGGAUAACGGUUGGAAACGACCGCUAAUACCGCAUACGCCCUUCGGGGGAAAGAUUUAUCGCUAAGAGAUGGACCCGCGUUGGAUUAGAUAGUUGGUGAGGUAACGGCUCACCAAGUCGGCGAUCCAUAGCUGGUUUGAGAGGAUGAUCAGCCACACUGGGACUGAGACACGGCCCAGACUCCUACGGGAGGCAGCAGUGGGGAAUAUUGGACAAUGGGGGCAACCCUGAUCCAGCCAUGCCGCGUGAGUGAAGAAGGCCUUCGGGUUGUAAAGCUCUUUCAGAUGCGAAGAUGAUGACGGUAACAUCAGAA